GUGUCAGCAGCCGCGGUAAUACGAAGGGGGCUAGCGUUGUUCGGAAUUACUGGGCGUAAAGCGUGCGCAGGCGGUUUUUCAAGUCAGAGGUGAAAGCCCCGGGCUCAACCCGGGAAUGGCCUUUGAGACUGGAUGGCUAGAGUGUGAGAGAGGUGAGUGGAAUUCCCAGUGUAGAGGUGAAAUUCGUAGAUAUUGGGAAGAACACCCGUGGCGAAGGCGGCUCACUGGCUCGCAACUGACGCUCAUGCACGACAGCGUGGGGAGCAAACAGGAUUAGAAACCCGCGUAGUCC
rnacentral:rRNA from 1 species